CUUCGGGUAACCAAAACCGGCGCACGGGUGCGUAACGCGUAUACAAUCUGCCUUUCACAUAGGGAUAGCCCGAAGAAAUUUGGAUUAAUACCUAAUGGUAUAUAAGAGCGGCAUCGUUUUUAUAUUAAAGCUACGGUGGUGAAAGAUGAGUAUGCGUUCUAUUAGCUAGUUGGAGAGGUAACGGCUCCCCAAGGCGACGAUAGAUAGGGGUUCUGAGAGGGAUGUCCCCCACACUGGUACUGAGAUACGGACCAGACUCCUACGGGAGGCAGCAGUGAGGAAUAUUGGACAAUGGUCGGAAGACUGAUCCAGCCAUGCCGCGUGCAGGAUGAAGGUCCUAUGGAUUGUAAACUGCUUUUGUAAGGGAAGAAUAAGGAGUACGUGUACUUUGAUGACGGUACCUUACGAAUAAGCAUCGGCUAACUCCGUGCCAGCAGCCGCGGUAAUACGGAGGAUGCGAGCGUUAUCCGGAAUCAUUGGGUUUAAAGGGUCCGUAGGCGGGCUGAUAAGUCAGAGGUGAAAGCGCUUAGCUCAACUAAGCAACUGCCUUUGAAACUGUCAGUCUUGAAUGAUUGUGAAGUAGUUGGAAUGUGUAGUGUAGCGGUGAAAUGCUUAGAUAUUACACAGAACACCGAUAGCGAAGGCAUAUUACUAACAAUUUAUUGACGCUGAUGGACGAAAGCGUGGGGAGCGAACAGGAUUAGAUACCCU
rnacentral:rRNA from 1 species